AUUGAACGCUGGCGGCAGGCCUAACACAUGCAAGUCGAGCGAGCGGCGGACGGGUGAGUAAUGUAUGGGGACUGCCCGAUAGAGGGGGAUAACUACUGGAAACGGUGGCUAAUACCGCAUACUAUCGGAUAACCCAUAUGGGAUUAGCUAGUAGGUGGGGUAAAGGCUCACCUAGGCGACGAUCUCUAGCUGGUCUGAGAGGAUGAUCAGCCGAACUGGGACGGAGAGCGGGCCCAGACUCCUACGGAGACAGCAUUGGGGAAUAGUGAACAAAGGGCGCAAGCUUGAUGCAGCCAUGCCGCGUAGAUGAAGCAGGCAUUAGGGUUGUAAAGUACUUUAAGCGGGGAGGCGUUACCCGGAGAAGAAGCACCGGCUAACUCCGUGCCAGCAGCCGCGGUAAUUC
rnacentral:rRNA from 1 species